UUUCGUGGACGCUGGAUAAGGAGGAGCAAGUGUGGGAGUCCGGCUAGAGGGGAGCGGGAAGCCGGGCGAUCCAUCGGAGCGUGAGGACUUGAGCCUCCGCACUUUAACUCUAGAUUUCGAAAUGCAUCAUGAUUCCUGUCCAUUGGACUGUAAGGUUUAUGUAGGUAAUCUUGGAAACAAUGGCAAUAAGACUGAAUUGGAAGGGGCUUUUGGCUAUUAUGGACCACUCCGAAGCGUGUGGGUUGCUAGAAACCCUCCCGGCUUUGCUUUUGUUGAAUUUGAAGAUCCUCGAGAUGCAGCCGAUGCUGUCCGAGAGCUAGAUGGAAGGACACUGUGGGGCUGCCGUGGGAGAGUGGAACUGUCCGAUGGUGAAAAGAGAAGUAGAAAUCGUGGCCCACCUCCCUCUUGGGGUCGUCGCCCUCGAGAUGAUUAUCGUAGGAGGAGUCCUCCACCUCGCCGCAGAUCUCCAAGGAGGAGAAGCUUCUCUGGCAGCCGGAGCAGGUCCCUUUCCCGAGAUAGAAGAGAGAGAGAUCAUUGUCUCGGGAGAGAAAUCAUAAGCCCUCCCGAUCCUUCUCUAGGUCUCGAAGCCGAUCUAGGUCGAAUGAAAGGAAAUAGAAGACCAGUUUGCAAGAGAAGUGGUGCACAGGAGAUAACUUCAUUUGACAGAAGUAU